AGAGACGAGGAGGGAGGAGGACGGCGGACGUGCGGAGAGGCUCCGGUCGAUCACUCCGGGUGGUCCCGAGCCGUGAGUCGACGGAAUUCGGGUGGUCGUCUGACGUCGAAUUGAGCUCCAACGGUAGCGCGCGAAGAACUUGGACUUUGAUAAGUGUUGGCGCCUUUUUUUUCCCAUUACUUUCCUCUCUGUAUCAAAUGCAUAUUAAUGUCAUAGAAUUAGUAAUAUCUAUAAAGUGUAUUUGUUAAAAUUCACUGGGUGUGCUGGCUGAUGAUUGAUGUUCGGGAUUGAUUCGGGCGGUGACUGACCCUGAGGGGAGUGUUGAAGCAGGUGCUGGGCGGGAUUUCCCCUAGACACACACGAGCCAAUAUAACGGAACGUUACAUCUCUAUUUCUCUCUGUUUUGAUUGCAGAUUAAGCUCAAACACCUUGACGUGGUUCAACUUCGAUACUCAGUCCUCCCGAAUGAUCUGGAGAUCAUCCAGAUCGACUGUUUAAUGUGAAGUGUUAGAAGCUGCAGCUGGAUGCAUUUCCUGGAGGUGGACUCGUCAGGGACACUGGAGGUUUCUCUACCUUCCCACAUCAUGCAAGAGGAGCGUUCAACUAUCCUGCCUGACAUCAGUACUGUCCUAACUGUGCAAAUAUAAAGAAGGAAAACACAAGUAAAAGCAUAAUAGAGAGAGGAUGACACCACUCGAGGAUAAAACAGGAUCCGGUAAGGUCCCGGCCAUCAACGCUUACCUUCGGACUGAAUUUAUAGCACUGCGCAACUCAUUUAAGUGCCACAGACAGACGCAAUAUUAUCUGAUAACGAGAAGGAGACCCCUUAGGAGAACAUCAUACUCAACUCAAGUGAUCACACCUCAACUACUUGAAUGGCGGCAGCACUAUUGAUGUGUUUGAAUGCAAAAGGACACGGAAAGUGUUGACUAUGAGAAUGAAGAGGCAUUGAAUGGCUUAUUCUGGCAUUUACAAAAAUACAGAAAUACAAUAAAAUUUAUAUAUAAACAAAGACUGACAAACAACCAGGAAAACAAGUCAAGAAAAAGUUUAAAAAGGCAGGAACAAAAGAUGUUGGGAACGGCAAAGGUGAAUUGCUAUGGGACUGAUGGCAGAGAAGUUCCAGGGACAGAGUUGGCAUUGGUGCAGACACACCCAGCCCUGAGACACCAGUGAGAUGCUCGUCGGUGGAGAAACUGAAAGAGCUAGACGGAACAGAUCGUGCUGCUGCCUGCAUCAGGGAGGCUUCGGAUGAGUCGGUGCGCGAUGGGGGCAUGCAAUCUAAUAACAUCCAUGGAACAGAAGUAAAACACUGAAGAAUGACAGAAAAACAUUAGAACCCUAAAGCCCCCUCCCCCUCCCACACACAAGCACCAGCAAAGUGUCAACCCUUACCCAACCCCACAGUUAUUCCAGCAGAAAGCAUCAGCGUCCGCCUCCCACCAAGCAAUAGCAAAGCCCCCAAAGAGAGACCAUGAUCUGCUGUCCAACAAGAACCAUUCUUCAUACAACAGUUCGACAUGCCACAGGCUCUCUCUCUCUCUCUCUCACUAACAAGGGACAAAGAGGUGUCACCCAUUCCACAGCAAGAGGGGAGACGGACAGAUCGCUGUUUUGAUGUUAUAGUCUCGAGUGAUGCUUAUACAAGCUUGCCCGACUCUUCCCCUCCCCCCAUAGAGAGAGAGAGAAAUCAUACAUGUGAAGAAGCCUCCAACAGCCAUAACUGCUGUGUCGAUGUUCCAGUCCCCUGCAACGCCUCAGUUGGCAACACUGGCGAGGAAUCGGGUCCACAGGGGCCGGCCGAGGCUUCACUCUGAAGACAUACAUCUUCCAAGCUGUAACUUGAGAUAUUGAAAAUCUGGCCGAUCAGCGAGCUCUGGGAGUAAGAACCCACCAUUGUGAAGAACUGCAGUUUGAGUGCAGCUGUAGAUCACAGACUCUGACAUGACCCAGCCACCUUGAAAAGAAACGCAUAAAAAAAUUAAUAAAAAAAAAAGGAGAGGAAAUCAAGCUGUUUCGCAGAUGAGCUCGAAAAAGUUGCCCUCUGGCACCAUCUUGGCUCCUCCACCCUCGGAAUCAUGGCAUUUCUCAUUAGCUCACUAAAUUACAGCUCUUUUCCUGCAAUGUCUCGUAUGCAACAUACCUUGCAGUUAUAAAGCAUCUUGUUAUGCUCUAAAACAUCCCAUGGGUGGGUGACUCAUACAAAAUACUAGAAGAACUCAGCAGGUUUAGCGGUAUGCAUGGAAAAGAGUAGAGAGUCAAUGUUUCAGCUAUUCGUCAGGACUGGAAAGGAAGGGGGGAAGAAAGUAGAGGAGGGGAAGGAAUGCAGUCUGGCAGGAGACAGGUGAAGCCAGGUGAUGGGGAAAGUAGGUUGUUCAGGAAGGGGAGGACAAAGUAAAGAGCUAUGAGGGGAUAGGUGGGAAAGGUAAAGGGCUGAAGAAGAAGGAAUUUGAUAGGAGGGGAGAUUGGACCAUUAGAAAAAGGGAAAUGAUGGUCAGGUGAGCAGGUGAGGAGAAGAGACCAGGUAAGAGGGGAGCCAGAAUGGGGAAUGAAAAACAGGAGAUGGGGAGGAGGAAGGGGAGGAACGACCGGAAGAUAAACGUGCUAAGCCAUGGCUGGCAAGUUAUUAAGCAAGAUUUGACACUGAGCCACAUGUUGGCUCAGCUCACCAAUAGCUCAGCCAAGAGCUGGGCCUGUUCGAAAGAAGGAAAAGUCCCUGGAGAAGAGACAAGAUUUAAUGAGGGAACACCGGUCUCAGCCAACAAGGGUAACGUCAAACAAAGCCAAACUGGAUAUAUGCCAAACUGAGGGAACACGAGAAUUUAUGCCUGGUUGUUGAGCUGGUUAGGUAACCAGGGAGUAAUGGAGUUUAAAAUUGAGGCACAGGAAGUGUUGGAAUAGGGUCUUAAUUGUUAUUUUCUUGUAGUUUAACUUCCUUUGUGCUUGCUUAUAUGUAUAAUCACCUGUUUGUCUGUAAAAGGUCAGUGGAUCUUCAGUAAUUUGAAGUAUAUCCAGUUCUGUUCUUCAGUAGUUUAUUUGCCUGUGAGCCUGAGAUGGCAGGCAGCAUGAAUCAAGACCGACCAUGCGGUGUCAAGGCUGCUCUUAUCAGAGACGAAUCCCUCAUCUGUCCAUCUUGAAGCAGUUUUCAGUAUAAAGAGGGACAACAAGGCAGGUUCUUUGCCAGAGUGAGUUGGUUGAAGUUAGAGUUAGUUACCUGCUGCUGUUCUUUACUGCUGUGCAUCUAAUACACCACUGUGCAAAAUCUAAGGCAUAUAUAUAUAUAUAUAUAUUAGGCCAUCGAACUUUCAGCUCCUCCAGUGGAGAGUCAGACACCUUGAACCAAUAGGCUGGUCCUGGACUUAUUUCCAUCUGGCAUAGUUUGCAUAUUGUUGUUUGAUUGUUUGUGGUUUUUGUAUUGCUAUAUUUAUGCUCUAUUCUUGGUUGGUGCAGCUGUAACGAAACCCGAUUUCCCUCAGGUUCAAUAAAGUAUAUCUAUCUAUCAAUCAAUCUAUCUAUCUACCUAUUUAUAUCUAGGGUGCCUAAGACUUUUGCACAGUAUUGUAUUUGUCAACAUGGAGUGGAGAGUGAGUUUGUAAAUCUGGCUGGAGCAAGGGAUGUUGGGAAUGGCAAGGGUGGUGCGCCAUGUGAGGGGUGUGGGUCAGGUGGCAGAGAAGGAGCGCCGGGCCACUGGGGGGGAUUACAGUUACACUCAGCCCUGAGACACCAGUCAUGGUCAUUUGAUUGCAAAAAAUUGCUUUAUUGAUCAUUACAGAAUGUCUCUCUGGUGCUUCCCUCUCCCUUCCCCUUUUCCCAACCAUGAUUCCCCUCUCCCUCUCCCCUUCCUAUUCUCAGUCUACAAUAGAGACCCAUAUCAGAGUCAGGUUUAUCAUCACUCACAUACGUCAUUAAUAUUUGUGUUUUUUUUAUGGCAGCAGUACAGUGCAAUACAUAAAAUUACUUCAGUCCUGUGCAAAAGCCUUAGUUAUACUAAGACUUUUGCACAGAAUGAUACGUUUGUCAUCACCUCAUACUUUGUUCCAAUCACCUUAAAAAUAUGCCCCUUGUAUGAGCCAUUUCUGCCCUGGGAAAAAGUCUCUGGCUGCCGACUCAAUCUAUGCUUCUCAUUUCUUCCAGUAUCACAAAGAUGAUUGGGUUGGUAGGUUCAUUGGCCUCUGGUUUCCCUCUUCCCCCUCUUCCAUCGGGCAAAAGCAUGUGCCACCAGACUCACGGACGGUUUCUACCCCUCUGUAAUAAGUUCCCUAGUACAAUAACCUCAAAUCCUACCUUGUUUUGAUCUUGCACCUUCUUGUUUAUCUGCACUGCACCUUCUCUGUAGCUAUUACACUUCAUUCUGCAUAAAAUUACUACAGUACAUUGCAAAAGUCUUAGGCACCCUAGCUUUGUGCCUGAGACUUUUCCACCAUAUUGUAUAACAGCUGUAACCACGAGAUUUAUACCUCAUACUUGACUUCCCGAAGAACUUUCUGGAUAACAUGAGCAGCACGAUAGCAUAAUGGUUAGUGUAACACUGAUACAGGACCAAUGGCCUGGACUCAAUCCUGCCAUUGUCUGUAAGAAGUUUGUACGGUCUUCCCUGCUACUGCCCGGGUUUCCUCCAGGUGCUCUGGUUUCCUCCCACACUCCAUAGUAGUACAGGUUAGUAAAAUAAUUGGUCACAUUGGGUGGUGCAGACUCACUGGGCCGGGAUGGACUGUUAUUGUGGUGUUGCUCUAAAUAACUUUAAUAUCAUCUCCCAAUCUCCAGACCCUGCCCCCCCCGGGAAUACAUGGCUCCUCCGUAGACAGAAUUAAGUGCACUAAGUUCAUGGGAUUUCACAUCAUGACUAACCUACCUAGUCCCUUAAUAUCACCUCCAUGAACAAGAAGGCACAGCAGCACCUCCACUUCCUAAGCAGACUGAGGCAAGUAAAGCUCCCCCAUCAUUUUAACUGCAUUUUACUGGGGCACCAUUGACAGUGUCCUGACAAGUUGCAUCUCCAUCUGGUAUUGGAGAAGUCGAGCAUUGGACCUGAAGUCCCUACAAAGGACUGCGAGAACAGCUGAGAGGAUCAUAGGGGUCUCCCUACUAUCCAUCGGGAACAUUUAUCAGGAGCACCGUGCACACAGGGCCCUCAGUAUUAUUAAGGAUCCCUCCCAUCCAUCCAGUGUCCUCUUUGACUUUCUACCAUCAGGCAUGAGAAUCCGAUGUAUAAAACCAAGAACGGUGAGGAUGACAAGUAGUUUCUUCCCCCAGGCCAUUAGGCUUCUGAACUCCCCGCCGCAUCACAUUCAAUGUGUCACUGGUU